GGAGAGUCUGAUGGCGGGAGGCAGGCUAUUCCAUAGGAAGGGAGCUGCCCGCGAGAAGUCCUGCAAGCGCGAGUUGGCCGUACGGGUGCGGACAACGGACAGGAGGUGGUCACGGGCAGAGCGGAGAGACCGAGAAGGGACAUACCUAUGGAUCUGUGAGGAGAUAUAAGAGGGGCUAGAGUUGUUCAGUGCUUUAUAGGUGUG